GGGAAACUGCCCGAUGGAGGGGGAUAACUACUGGAAACGGUAGCUAAUACCGCAUAACGUCGCAAGACCAAAGUGGGGGACCUUCGGGCCUCACACCAUCGGAUGUGCCCAGAUGGGAUUAGCUAGUAGGUGGGGUAAUGGCUCACCUAGGCGACGAUCCCUAGCUGGUCUGAGAGGAUGACCAGCCACACUGGAACUGAGACACGGUCCAGACUCCUACGGGAGGCAGCAGUGGGGAAUAUUGCACAAUGGGCGCAAGCCUGAUGCAGCCAUGCCGCGUGUAUGAAGAAGGCCUUCGGGUUGUAAAGUACUUUCAGCGGGGAGGAAGGCGGUGAGGUUAAUAACCUCGCCGAUUGACGUUACCCGCAGAAGAAGCACCGGCUAACUCCGUGCCAGCAGCCGCGGUAAUACGGAGGGUGCAAGCGUUAAUCGGAAUUACUGGGCGUAAAGCGCACGCAGGCGGUCUGUUAAGUCAGAUGUGAAAUCCCCGGGCUUAACCUGGGAACUGCAUUUGAAACUGGCAGGCUUGAGUCUCGUAGAGGGGGGUAGAAUUCCAGGUGUAGCGGUGAAAUGCGUAGAG
rnacentral:rRNA from 1 species